rnacentral:rRNA from 1 species
GGAGAAAAGCAGGGGAUCGCAAGACCUUGCGCUUUUAGAGCGGCCGAUGUCUGAUUAGCUAGUUGGUGAGGUAAAGGCUUACCAAGGCGUCGAUCAGUAGCUGGUCUGAGAGGACGACCAGCCACACUGGGACUGAGACACGGCCCAGACUCCUACGGGAGGCAGCAGUGGGGAAUUUUGGACAAUGGGGGAAACCCUGAUCCAGCCAUGCCGCGUGAGUGAAGAAGGCCUUCGGGUUGUAAAGCUCUUUCAGCCGGAACGAAACGGUCACGGCUAAUACCUGUGACUACUGACGGUACCGGAAGAAGAAGCACCGGCUAACUACGUGCCAGCAGCCGCGGUAAUACGUAGGGUGCGAGCGUUAAUCGGAAUUACUGGGCGUAAAGCGUGCGCAGGCGGUUUUGUAAGUCAGAUGUGAAAUCCCCGGGCUUAACCUGGGAACUGCGUUUGAAACUACAAAGCUAG